rnacentral:rRNA from 1 species
CAGGGAUUGCCUCAGUAACGGCGAGUGAAGCGGCAAAAGCUCAAAUUUGAAAUCUGGCCCCUUCGGAGUCCGAGUUGUAAUUUGUAGAGGAUGUUUCGGGCGCGGUCCCGGUCUAAGUCCCUUGGAACAGGGCGUCAUAGAGGGUGAGAAUCCCGUAUGCGACCGGCGGCCAACCCCAUGUGAAACCCCUUCGACGAGUCGAGUUGUUUGGGAAUGCAGCUCAAAAUGGGUGGUAAAUUUCAUCUAAAGCUAAAUACCGGCCAGAGACCGAUAGCGCACAAGUAGAGUGAUCGAAAGAUGAAAAGCACUUUGGAAAGAGAGUCAAACAGUACGUGAAAUUGUUGAAAGGGAAGCGCUUGCGACUAGACCUGUCCGCGGGCGAUCAACCUCUGUUCUCAGAGGUGCACUCGUCCGCGAUCAGGCCAGCAUCGGUUCGGGCGGCCGGAUAAAGGCCUUGGGAAUGUAGCUCCCCUCGGGGAGUGUUAUAGCCCUCGGUGCAAUGCGGCCAGCCCGGACCGAGGACCGCGCUUCGGCUAGGAUGCUGGCGUAAUGGUNNNNNNNNNCCCGUCUUGAAACACGGACCAAGGAGNNNNNNAUCUAUGCGAGUGUUUGGGUGUCAAGCCCAUGCGCGUAAUGAAAGUGAACGGAGGUGAGAACCCUGAAGGGCGCAUCAUCGACCGAUCCAGAUGUCUUCGGAUGGAUUUGAGUACGAGCAUAGCUGUUGGGACCCGAAAGAUGGUGAACUAUGCCUGAAUAGGGUGAAGCCAGAGGAAACUCUGGUGGAGGCUCGCAGCGGUUCUGACGUGCAAAUCGAUCGUCAAAUUUGGGUAUAGGGGCGAAAGACUAAUCGAACCAUCUAGUAGCU